GUUGGAGGCAGCAAUCUUCAGUCGUCCUUCUCCGUACGACGGCAUCGCCGGUUGCAGAUCCCUCCUCGUGUUGCCGGUGCGGUUCUUCUUGGGUGAGCGAGCGAGUCCGAGAUGUGUUUCUCUGUGCAGGUUGUGGCUCAUGGGUCGAUCAGAAGCUGCAAGAGAAGUGUGUUUCAAUGUUUGAGGGCGUCUUUCUCUCCGGUAGCUCGCGAC
rnacentral:lncRNA from 1 species